UACGGGGGGGGCAAGCGUUGUUCGGAAUUACUGGGCGUAAAGGGCUCGUAGGCGGCCAACUAAGUCGGACGUGAAAGCCCUCGGCUUAACCGAGGAACUGCGUCCGAUACUGGAUGGCUUGAAUUCGGGAGAGGGAUGCAGAAUUCCAGGUGUAGCGGUGAAAUGCGUAGAUAUCUGGAGGAAUACCGGUGGCGAAGGCGGCAUCCUGGACCGACAUUGACGCUGAACGGCGAAAGCUAGGGGAGCAAACGGG
rnacentral:rRNA from 1 species